rnacentral:rRNA from 1 species
CGAUAACGAACGAGACCUUAACCUACUAAAUAGUGGUGCUAGCAUUUGCUGGUUUUUCCACUUCUUAGAGGGACUAUCGGUUUCAAGCCGAUGGAAGUUUGAGGCAAUAACAGGUCUGUGAUGCCCUUAGACGUUCUGGGCCGCACGCGCGCUACACUGACGGAGCCAACGAGUCUAACCUUGGCCGAGAGGUCUGGGUAAUCUUGUGAAACUCCGUCGUGCUGGGGAUAGAGCAUUGUAAUUAUUGCUCUUCAACGAGGAAUUCCUAGUAAGCGCAAGUCAUCAGCUUGCGUUGAUUACGUCCCUGCCCUUUGUACACACCGCCCGUCGCUAGUACCGAUUGAAUGGCU